rnacentral:rRNA from 1 species
UACGUAGGGGGCAAGCGUUGUCCGGAAUCAUUGGGCGUAAAGAGCUCGUAGGCGGUUCAGUAAGUCGGGUGUGAAACUCUGGGCUCAACCCAGAGAUGCCACCCGAUACUGCUGUGACUUGAGUACGGUAGGGGAGCAGGGAAUUCCUGGUGUAGCGGUGAAAUGCGCAGAUAUCAGGAGGAACACCGGUGGCGAAGGCGGCUGCUGCGGCGAACUGACGCGUGGAGGAAGC